UGAGCUUUUGUGUCCUCCUUUGCAGAACCUUUGCUACUGCUCCAUUUGUAAUCCUCAGUGAUCAAUUCUGCAGUGAGACAAAGCAGCCUAAGCCAUGCCUGCUUAAGCAUCUACAGUAAUGAGACUAAAUGUUUUGGCAUUGAGGAGCUGUUCUAAACAGAGCUUCUUUUGUGACAGAUGCCUACUGGAAGUUAUUGAAAUCUCAUAUCAGUGUUUUUGUUAAGUUUUGAAACAUACUGCUUCCUUUAUUACCUGCUUCCUUAGCAGUUCUUUUUGUCAUUCAACAAAUUAAUAACGCAGCUGUGUUAGGAGCCAGUUUUGCAUCUGAACUUGAGGACUACUUUCACCAGAAGGCAAUUCAGUUACGUACUGUGUCAGGUGCAAGGUGCUGGGGCCAACCUGGGACAAACACUGAGCUGGUUUGUUACUGGGCUCUUGGAUGUGGAGCUGCUUUCAUGCCUCUGCCAGCAUGGGAUGAGCAGCCUUCCUUGCCAUGAGGCUGCUCCCUCCAUCCCUAACUGUUUUCCCAUUAGGAGCUAGAGCAGCUAACCUGGUUUUUAAAUGGGAGCUUGCCCUCAGUAAGAUCAAAAAGCUUCAUGCUGGGAAUUGAAUGCACUUUUAAAUAAAUGCAGCACCUCUCCAGAGCAGUGUCAGGUGUUCCAGCGACAAAGCAAGUGAAGCUAUCUGCUCUACUCCAGUGACAGAAAAGGGAAGGAAGGGGUGGGAGGAGUGGUGGUGACCCUGCACAGAGAUCAGAGCAGGGAGGACGGAUCAUGCUGCUAGCCCUGAUGCUGGAAAUAGCAGCUGUCUGCACACUCUGAACACAGUUGACCAGAGGUGCUGGCUGCAGAAGGCGUUGUGGCUCUCUGGUGCUCUAGAAUAGACAAAAUAGGAAGCUGGGUCGUAGCUGGUUUGCCUGCUUUGGUUUCCUGCUCUAGGAAGGUAACUGCAGUCUUGAGUCCUACCCCCAGCCCUGCACCUGCCUACACAGGGCCUUGAUUCUCUCUCUUUGUCUUCAAAGUGCACUUUUUCCCCACUCACUGCGAAAUCCCUGCCCAUUCUUGCACAUGGUCCAUCAAGAUUGCUUAGUAGCACUCCUUCAUAAUAAGGAUGCCCAUUUAAUUCAGCUGGUGGCAGUCUGUGUGGUCAUACUGAACAUCUUUAGUUCCAUCUCCUGCUGCCUACGUCUGCAGGGCGGGCUGCUCUAGGAGUCUAGGUCUAGGAGUAACACGGUGGAUUGUCUCACAUGGCUGAAGUGUGUGAAAGGAUGAUGAGCAUUCCCCCUACCUGCCUGUGAGGGGACAGCAGAGCAGAGGCAUGCGUGGAGUUGAGAGAAGGGGUGUGGCAUUUUAGACCUCACAGAAAUGGGAAAGCUGCUUAAAGAUGAAGGCGUCCCCAGUCCCAUGUUCAGACCUGGAACGCUGUGUCCAUGCGUAAUGGAGAAGAGGGCGCAAGGGGCUGGGCAGGAUACACAGCUCCUGUGCUCUCUGUAGGACUGCACUCGGUUCACAUGCCCAAACUGCACCUCCUGCUGUUCUCUGCUGAGCUCAGGGGUGGACACCUCCCAAGGUUGCUGUUCAGGAUGACAAAUCCCUUGUGGGCCCGUGGAGUAUCAACAAGCCAGGAGUAAAGUUUUGCUUCUCUGUAUGCUUACCUCAGUAUGCUCACCUCAGUUUAAGGGUAUUUCCAAAUACCCUUAAACCCACUGUCCUCUGCUCGUGUUUCCUGUCGUUAAAAAGCCUGAGCAGUGCUGCUGCCCUGGCAGCGGGAGGCUAUGUCUAAAAAAACAGAGAAGAGCCCAUCUUCUGCUAAGCCACCCAGUCCCUGGCAUCUCUGUUUGCUGUACUGAGGGUACUUUGUUCACUGGUCCCUGGCCCCAAGCCACUGCCUCAUGUCACACAGGAAGCUGAACCGCUGCCAGCUGGGAGCAGCUUCUGGUCGCUAUCUCCAGCCAUCGGUGCUCAGCUGCAGCCUGUUAGCCAGGCUCCUGACCCUGCCCGCCUUGCAGGUCCCAGGCAUUCGCUUUCCCUUUCGAGCCCUUGAGAUAGCAGAGUCUGUUGUACGGGGAUGAAUGGAUUUAGGAAGCGCCAAGGCCAAACUAAGCACCGCUGGGUACCGGCAAUUUUUAGCUUCAAGUCGUCAGUCCUGGCUGGAAGCAAUUGUCAGAAACUAAGAUGGACCGAGUUCAAGCGCAAGAGCACAACGCUCUUCCUUGAUACAGCCUCUCCCCAGCAGCGAUGCUCAUACAGAGAUCCUUUAUCACGCCAGCCACAAGUCACUCCUGCUUCCUUCCAGCAUUAUGCCAGUGAAAUACAGGAAUCGUUUCAAGGGGAAAACUGCAGCAGCCAGGUCAGGAGAGCACCACCUCCACCUUUCUGAAGCAGGGGAAGGGAGGGGACUCUCUCAGUUCAGGGCUACUUGGCUGCUUUAUAGUUUUGUUUGGCUGGACAUGAAAGAGGCCUGGAAGUCUCGGCGGGCUAUUUUAGGAAAUCCUUUACAAGUUCCUCUAGGAAAUGGGCCUUACCCUAACAAUUCAAUUAAAUACAAUUAGUCAGUUGAUCCUGAAAGCAGAAGGAAAUUGUAUCAUGCAUAUUUCAUACAGGAUUUGCUUAAGUAUCUGUUUUUUAGCUCUUUGGCACUUGCUGAUUGUCCUUUUGCCUGUAAUUCCAGCUGGCAAUACCGAUGCCUUUGUAUCAGAGAGCUGGGCUUCCUCUCCUGAAGAGCUUAACAGCAGUGUCCACUGGCCUCAGUGGCAGUCCUGCAAGCUCAGUCCUCGUAUAGAUCAGGCUCGUACAUACUAUGCAUGGGUUGGUCUGCCAGCACAGAUAGAUACACGGAAAAACAUAAUGCCUGGGGAUGUCCCAUUUUCCUCCAGCUGUUCGGGUAGGUCUCCAAAGAUCACCUUGCUGAUAACAGGAGACUGCUGUGGCUUUAGCAACGCGGCAAAUUAAAACUGCAGUAACCCUUUGUGCAGCUUAGCACCGGGAAGGAGCCCUACAUUCCCUAAUGAUUUUUCAAAUGGGACUUUUUGUCCAGUUCCUAGCCACAGCAAUGUGUUGACCAUCAUGAGAGUCCCAGGAGAGCUGGGACCAGGGAAGAGGGCUGGCACAGCAGAUGGAGAUGUGUUUAGCUGGUGCUUUCUUAGCAGUGCAAAUGUGUUGAACAUUGCACAGCCAAACCGAUGUAAACAGAGUAAUAUAUUUCAGCGUAAUUGCACUAAUUAUAUGGGGACACUGGUGUUAACUAAACAGCUGUUACCUUUCUCUGAUUGAAUUAAAUAGUUAUAAACCUCA